rnacentral:rRNA from 1 species
GAUGAACGCUGGCGGCGUGCCUAAUACAUGCAAGUCGAGCGAACGGACGAGAAGCUUGCUUCUCUGAUGUUAGCGGCGGACGGGAGAGUAACACGUGGAUAACCUACCUAUAAGACUGGGAUAAUUUCGGGAAACCGGAGCUAAUACCGGAUGAUAUUUUGAACCGCAUGGUUCAAAAGUGAAAGACGGUCUUGCUGUCACUUAUAGAUGGAUCCGCGCUGCAUUAGCUAGUUGGUAAGGUAACGGCUUACCAAGGCAACGAUGCAUAGCCGACCUGAGAGGGUGAUCGGCCACACUGGAACUGAGACACGGUCCAGACUCCUACGGGAGGCAGCAGUAGGGAAUCUUCCGCAAUGGGCGAAAGCCUGACGGAGCAACGCCGCGUGAGUGAUGAAGGUCUUCGGAUCGUAAAACUCUGUUAUUAGGGAAGAACAUAUGUGUAAGUAACUGUGCACAUCUUGACGGUACCUAAUCAGAAAGCCACGGCUAACUACGUG